rnacentral:rRNA from 1 species
AAAUAAGCAUAUCAAUAAGCGGAGGAAAAGAAACCAACAGGGAUUGCCCCAGUAACGGCGAGUGAAGCGGCAACAGCUCAAAUUUGAAAUCUGGCCCCUAGGGUCCGAGUUGUAAUUUGUAGAGGAUGCUUUUGGUGAGGUGCCGCCCGAGUUCCCUGGAACGGGACGCCACAGAGGGUGAGAGCCCCGUCUGGCUGGCCGCCGAGCCUCUGUAAAGCUCCUUCGACGAGUCGAGUAGUUUGGGAAUGCUGCUCAAAAUGGGAGGUAUAUGUCUUCUAAAGCUAAAUAUUGGCCAGAGACCGAUAGCGCACAAGUAGAGUGAUCGAAAGAUGAAAAGCACCUUGAAAAGAGGGUUAAAUAGUACGUGAAAUUGUUGAAAGGGAAGCGCUUGUGACCAGACUUGGGCGCGGCGGAUCAUCCGGGGUUCUCUCCGGUGCACUUCGCCGCGUCUAGGCCAGCAUCAGUUCGUCGCGGGGGAAAAAGGCUUCGGGAACGUGGCUCCUCCGGGAGUGUUAUAGCCCGUUGCAUAAUACCCUGCGGUGGACUGAGGACCGCGCAUCUGCAAGGAUGCUGGCGUAAUGGUCACCAGCGACCCGUCUUGAAACACGGACCAAGGAGUCGUCUUCGUAUGCGAGUGUUCGGGUGUCAAACCCCUACGCGUAAUGAAAGUGAACGCAGGUGAGAGCUUCGGCGCAUCAUCGACCGAUCCUGAUGUUCUCGGAUGGAUUUGAGUAAGAGCAUACGGGGCCGGACCCGAAAGAAGGUGAACUAUGCCUGUAUAGGGUGAAGCCAGAGGAAACUCUGGUGGAGGCUCGCAGCGGUUCUGACGUGCAAAUCGAUCGUCAAAUAUGGGCAUGGGGGCGAAAGACUAAUCGAACCUUCUAGUAGCUGGUUUCCGCCGAAGUUUCCCUCAGGA